rnacentral:rRNA from 1 species
UACGUAGGGUGCAAGCGUUAAUCGGAAUUACUGGGCGUAAAGCGUGCGCAGGCGGUUUUGUAAGUCUGACGUGAAAUCCCCGGGCUUAACCUGGGAAUUGCGUUGGAGACUGCAAGGCUGGAGUCUGGCAGAGGGGGGUAGAAUUCCACGUGUAGCAGUGAAAUGCGUAGAGAUGUGGAGGAACACCGAUGGCGAAGGCAGCCCCCUGGGUCAAGACUGACGCUGAGGAGCGAAAGCCAGGGGAGCAAACGGG